UAGCGCUGCCGCAGGUCUUGGGGCUGGUAGUAGCGCUGCCUGCAAACCAGCACCAAGGCUGCAAACGAAGCCAGAAAGAUGGUGGCCAGGACACCUAUGGCAACAAUCACCACGGUCUCCAUGCUUCCGGGGAGCUCCUGACUCAGUCCCGUUCACAUCCUCCUCAUGGGCUAAGGCUGCUGGAAGUGGCAAACUGGGGGAAGAGGAUGGCAGGAGCUAGGUUCCUCCACGACACCUCCAGAGACCUGAGGGCCUUAAGCUGCAGCUCCGGGGCACAUCCCGCUGCGCUCCCAUGACGGCCCCGCCGAUGGCAAAGUCAGCG
rnacentral:lncRNA from 1 species